rnacentral:misc_RNA from 1 species
GGAGGUAAAAGUCGUAACAAGGUUUCCGUAGGUGAACCUGCGGAAGGAUCAUUACAGAGUUCAUGCCCUCACGGGUAGAUCUCCCACCCUUGAAUAUUUAUACCUUAGUUGCUUUGGCAGGCCGUGGAAACACCAUGGGCUCCGGCUUAUGCGUGCCUGCCAGAGGAAACAAACUCUGUUUUUAGUGAUGUCUGAGUACUAUAUAAUAGUUAAAACUUUCAACAACGGAUCUCUUGGUUCUG